rnacentral:sRNA from 1 species
AUUUUGAGCCUAGUUAUGAAUCUUCGAAGUUGGUGGCCUAGAAACCCAAAACUAGGCCA